rnacentral:rRNA from 1 species
GACGAACGCUGGCGGCGUGCUUAACACAUGCAAGUCGAACGGAAAGGCCCUGCUUUUGUGGGGUGCUCGAGUGGCGAACGGGUGAGUAACACGUGAGUAACCUGCCCUUGACUUUGGGAUAACUUCAGGAAACUGGGGCUAAUACCGGAUAGGAGCACCUGCUGCAUGGUGGGGGUUGGAAAGUUUCGGCGGUUGGGGAUGGACUCGCGGCUUAUCAGCUUGUUGGUGGGGUAGUGGCUUACCAAGGCUUUGACGGGUAGCCGGCCUGAGAGGGUGACCGGCCACAUUGGGACUGGGGUACGGCCCAGACUCCUACGGGAGGCAGCAGUGGGGAAUAUUGCACAAUGGGCGGAAGCCUGAUGCAGCAACGCCGCGUGCGGGAUGACGGCCUUCGGGUUGUAAACCGCUUUCGCCUGUGACGAAGCGUGAGUGACGGUAAUGGGUAAAGAAGCACCGGCUAACUACGUG